CUGCGGCUUAAUUUGACUCAACACGGGAAAACUCACCCGGUCCGGACACCGUUAGGAUUGACAGAUUGAAAGCUCUUUCUCGAUUUGGUGGUUGGUGGUGCAUGGCCGUUCUUAGUUGGUGGAGUGAUUUGUCUGGUUUAUUCCGAUAACGAGCGAGACUCUAGCCUACUAAAUAGUUGGCAGGUUCUUGAGCCUGUUUCAACUUCUUAGAGGGAUAAGCGGUGUCGAAGCCGCACGAGAUUGAGCGAUAACAGGUCUGUGAUGCCCUUAGAUGUCCGGGGCUGCACGCGCGCUACACUGGAAGACUCAAUUGGUCCACCGGUGCCGAAAGGUACUGGUAAUCCGUUGAAACUCUUCCGUGACCGGGAUCGGGAAUUGUAAUUAUUUCCCUUGAACGAGGAAUUCCUAGUAAGUGUGAGUCAUCAGCCCACGCUGAUUACGUCCCUGCCCUUUGUACACACCGCCCGUCGCUGUCCGGGACUGAGCUGUUUCGAGAAGACUGAGGAUUGCUAUAGUGAGGCUUCGGCUUGGCUAUAAUGAGAGCCAGUUUAAUCGCAAUGGCUUGAACCGGGCAAAAGUCGUAACAAGGUACCUGUAGGUGAACCUGC
rnacentral:rRNA from 1 species